rnacentral:rRNA from 1 species
UCGAGCGGUAGAGAGAAGCUUGCUUCUCUUGAGAGCGGCGGACGGGUGAGUAAUGCCUAGGAAUCUGCCUGGUAGUGGGGGAUAACGUUCGGAAACGGACGCUAAUACCGCAUACGUCCUACGGGAGAAAGCAGGGGACCUUCGGGCCUUGCGCUAUCAGAUGAGCCUAGGUCGGAUUAGCUAGUUGGUGAGGUAAUGGCUCACCAAGGCGACGAUCCGUAACUGGUCUGAGAGGAUGAUCAGUCACACUGGAACUGAGACACGGUCCAGACUCCUACGGGAGGCAGCAGUGGGGAAUAUUGGACAAUGGGCGAAAGCCUGAUCCAGCCAUGCCGCGUGUGUGAAGAAGGUCUUCGGAUUGUAAAGCACUUUAAGUUGGGAGGAAGGGUACUUACCUAAUACGUGAGUAUUUUGACGUUACCGACAGAAUAAGCACCGGCUAACUCUGUGCCAGCAGCCGCGGUAAUACAGAGGGUGCAAGCGUUAAUCGGAAUUACUGGGCGUAAAGCGCGCGUAGGUGGUUCGUUAAGUUGGAUGUGAAAUCCCCGGGCUCAACCUGGGAACUGCAUCCAAAACUGGCGAGCUAGAGUAUGGUAGAGGGUGGUGGAAUUUCCUGUGUAGCGGUGAAAUGCGUAGAUAUAGGAAGGAACACCAGUGGCGAAGGCGACCACCUGGACUGAUACUGACACUGAGGUGCGAAAGCGUGGGGAGCAAACAGGAUUAGAUACCCUGGUAGUCCACGCCGUAAACGAUGUCAACUAGCCGUUGGGAGCCUUGAGCUCUUAGUGGCGCACCUACGCAUUAAUU